UACGAAGGGGCGAGCGUUGUUCGGAUUUACUGGGCGUAAAGGGCGCGCAGGCGGCGCAUUUUGUCAGGCGUGAAAGCCCCGGGCUUAACCUGGGAACUGCGUUUGAUACGGAUGGGCUAGAGUUCGGGAGAGGAGAGUGGAAUUCCCAGUGUAGAGGUGAAAUUCGUAGAUAUUGGGAAGAACACCGGUGGCGAAGGCGGCUCUCUGGGCCUUACCUGACGCUCAGGCACGAAAGCUAGGGGAGCGAACAGG
rnacentral:rRNA from 1 species